rfam:Schistosoma rodhaini strain Burundi genome assembly, scaffold: SROB_scaffold0000062
AUCCAACUGACGAGUCCUAAAUAGAAUGAAACACACGCCCUGCAU